rnacentral:lncRNA from 1 species
UACCGACUUUUCACGGUACAAUGUAAGGCGGUAGGGUUCGCCCCGACGACCGUAGGCACGGUAGCGCUCGUGGUGGCGGAGGGCUACAACACACUGUCCUACAACAUACUGUCAAUAUAAACAAAGCAGUUCAAAAGUGUCAAUUCAGGUUUAUUGCAGGUUUAGUGCCGUUUCUCACAGUCACAGUAUGUCAGGUAGAUAUUUGAUGAAAGAUUCUCUGACCAGGCAUCGAGCCAGAACCAAAGCCGAUAAAAGAAAAAAUUAUGCUUUACAACAGGAACCUAAACGUUCAGGUAACUUCUUGACCGUAAUUUUGGCAGAGGCAGAGGCCGAGUUACCCAGUCUGAUAAAGUUGUAGCAGUUUCUAAUCAAGAAACUGCUAGUGAAAUAACUCCCAGUCUAAUGAAAGAAGUGGUGUACAGGAUAUCAUUCAUUUAGUCGCACUGGAAAAUACAUCAUUGAAGCAAGCAUUUCACAAUUUAACAAGAAGAAAAAGGAACCAAUCAAGAAAGCGAGUGGAAAACUCGCAUAGAAGACAAAGAAGAUGCUUGUGAUGCCAAGAGAGAUGCUGUCUUUCAAAACUACAUUAGCUCCCGUUCCUAUUGUGCAAUGUCCCUUCCUGUCCAGAAUGCAAAAGCCCUCAUUCGUCAUUCGUGUACUACGAAACCUGGUUCAAGAGACGUGACCGUAGGACCGAGGACAAUGAAGAAAUCAAUUCAUAUCCAUAGUUUAAUACGCUCACAUAUAUUUAUGCAAAUCUUGUAAUCACAUUUGAAAUACCGCUAUUGUUUGAAGGGAAUAAAAGUAUUAUUA